rnacentral:lncRNA from 1 species
UGCAAAACCAAUUCUCAUGAUAAAAGAAACAUUACACCAAGACACAGAGAUAAAGAUAUAGACACACGCUUGCUAACUAUCAAAAUGCAUUGCUUGCAGAAACCAGAAAAGAUUACGUGGUCGAAACAAAAUAAUACAGAUAUGAGCAAUCACAAUAAAAUUUUAAAACAGAUGCUAAGUGUCAAGAUAAGAGACCGAGAGCAACACACCAGAACAAGUUAAGGGCCUGUUUGGACAAACAGCUUAUAUGCAACUUAAAGCACAAACACAUAUCAUGAUAAGCGCUUAUGUAUAAGCUUACAUAAGUUAUUUUUAUAGAAAAAGAUAAAACAAAGUUAAAUUGUUUUUGUAUAUAUGCUAUAAGUUGUUUACAUAAGUUAUAAGCUGUUUUCAUAACUUCUCCCGAACAAACCCACAAAACUUAUGUCAAUAGAUAAGCUAAAAUAAGCCAAUCCAACCAGGCCCUAAACAUAGAAAAACAUGGCCAAUCAUGCAUGGAGCAAGGUAAUGGAAGAAAGCUGAAUAAUUGAAUCACAUGUUUAUGUCAACAAAGGUGGAAAAACUGAGAAAGUGUAAAAUAAUUUUAAACUAAGAAAGAGCAAAUGAAAUUAUGUUGAUUUGAGCAUCUAAGUAACACAGUUGCGAAAUUUCUCAGUAAUAAUAGCAUUCAGAGACAUGUAUAAUAUAUCAUAUUGAUCCUAGAAAACUCCGGUAAAAAUCAUGAACCCCUUUGACUACAAAAUAUUAAUUAACCACAAAACAUUAUCAACAGUAAAUAAGAUCAGAGAUCCGUUCCAUUCGAAAAGAACAAUAUCGGUAAUAAUAAUGAAAAUAACUGGGAAAUUGAAGAACAAACCUCG